CCUACGGGGGGCUGCAGUGAGGAAUAUUGGUCAAUGGGCGCGAGCCUGAACCAGCCAAGUAGCGUGAAGGAUGACUGCCCUACGGGUUGUAAACUUUUUUUAUAAAGGAAUAAAGUGAGGCACGUGUGCCUUUUUGUAUGUACUUUAUGAAUAAGGAUCGGCUAACUCCGUGCAAGCAGCCGCGGUAAUACGGAGGAUCCGAGCGUUAUCCGGAUUUAUUGGGUUUAAAGGGAGCGUAGAUGGGUGGUUAAGUCAGUUGUGAAAGUUUGCGGCGCAACCGUAAAAUUGCAAUUGAUACUGGCAGUCUAGAGUACAGUUGAGGUAGGCGGAAUUCGUGGUGUAGCGGUGAAAUGCUUAGAUAUCACGAAGAACUCCGAUUGCGAAGGCAGCUUACUAAACUGCCACUGACGUUGAUGCUCGAAAGUGUGGGGAGCAAACAGGAUUAGAUACCCUUGUAGUC
rnacentral:rRNA from 1 species